CAUUUGCAGGUUGUUAUUUAUACUAGUUUGAUUGAAGUCAUAUCUUAUGCAAUAGAGAUACAAAAUCCAGACGAGAUAGUAGCUAUCGUCCAACCUUAAACAAUUGUAUUUUCGUUCAAAGAACCAGCAAUUAUGGAUGCAAUUCUCUACUCCUUAGAUCACGUGGUUGAAAUAUAAUGAUGAUGCCACCUUUUAAAACAAUAACUCCAUCAACUCAGGUACCCAGCUCUGGCUAUAUAUAUCUAAAAUUGAUGGAAGUAAGCUUGAAUUCUGUAUUGUUUAUCUUCAACGCUUGUCUCUAAUUCAUCGUUUCGCUGCUCUCUCCUAAAUAGUUCUUAUAAGCUUACUCUGCAUUUUGUCUACAUAUCAAAUGAGUGACAAUAAGAAAUCUGAUAACUUACAGAUUUUGUUUCUUUUUACCUUUACGGAAAUAGACUUCUAUUUCAAUAUCAAAAACACAAGGUAUGUUACUUCCUGAAACCAUAAACACUUCAAUGCUAGUUCUGUGCAUCUCCUGAUUGGGAAUCCGUUACCCGUUAUACUUUUUUCAGAUCCUGCAAAUUUUCGUAAUGGUAGGAGCUUUAGCUAUGGGAUUCUAAGUAGGCGUUUGUACCUGUGGAUGCUUUUAAACGACUACUACAUGAAUAUAUGGCGCAAGGGAUUCCCACUACCUCAGAAGUAUGCUUUGGCCCUAAUGCAUGUCGAGUUUGGGUGGAUGUUGUAAAGGUUACAGAUGUUGUAGGUUGGAGACUAUCUUCUAAGAUCAAGUAUAUGGAAGAUGUGCAUGAAACCUCUAUUGCAUGGCCAGAGGAUAAAGUGGUACCUGUAGUGUUGAGAUUUGGAUUCAUUUGCUUGUUUUACAUAAGUGGGGAAACAAUGUCAACCUAAUACAACAUAUUUUGUCUUCAGAAGUGAAUUGAAGUAAAUUGAUUGUUCUGAAUUGAUGGAAUGAAGUAUGUUUAUUGCUUCUAAGUUUA